AGUGGAGAGGUCGUUUCUUCACUUUGGUCAGAACGUGAGAUUCAACUCCUCCACUUU
rnacentral:miRNA from 1 species